ensembl:rRNA 5S_rRNA 5S ribosomal RNA
GUCUAUGGCCGUACCACCCUGAAUGCAUCUGAUCUUGUCUGAUCUCCAAAGCUAAGCAGAGUCUGGCCUGGUUAGGAAGUGGAUGGGAGAACAUUUACGAAUGCAGAUUUACUGGGUC